rfam:Picea glauca, whole genome shotgun sequence.
GUAAUGGUGUCUUUAGACACCACCAAUCUUCUAUGAAGUUAUGUCU